GGGUUGUGAGGUUAAGCGACUAAGCGUACACGGUGGAUGCCCUGGCAGUCAGAGGCGAUGAAGGGCGUGCUAAUCUGCGAUAAGCGCCGGUAAGGUGAUAUGAACCGUUAUAACCGGCGAUACCCGAAUGGGGAAACCCAGUGUGACUCGUCACACUAUCAUUAACUGAAUCCAUAGGUUAAUGAGGCGAACCGGGGGAACUGAAACAUCUAAGUACCCCGAGGAAAAGAAAUCAACCGAGAUUCCCCCAGUAGCGGCGAGCGAACGGGGAGGAGCCCAGAGCCUGAAUCAGCAUGUGUGUUAGUGGAAGCGUCUGGAAAGGCGCGCGAUACAGGGUGACAGCCCCGUACACAAAAGCGCAUGUGCUGUGAGCUCGAUGAGUAGGGCGGGACACGUGGUAUCCUGUCUGAAUAUGGGGGGACCAUCCUCCAAGGCUAAAUACUCCUGACUGACCGAUAGUGAACCAGUACCGUGAGGGAAAGGCGAAAAGAACCCCGGCGAGGGGAGUGAAAAAGAACCUGAAACCGUGUACGUACAAGCAGUGGGAGCCCCACCACCAAAGCAUUCUCUGGUGUUGAAGGCCCUGCAAAGCAGCAUCGCGGUGGCGGAGCGUCGUUUGCGACGCCCAACACACAAAACAAACGGUGAAUGCUUUG
rnacentral:rRNA from 1 species